rnacentral:rRNA from 1 species
AGUGAACGCUGGCGGUAGGCUUAACACAUGCAAGUCGAACGGCAGCACAGUAAGAGCUUGCUCUUACGGGUGGCGAGUGGCGGACGGGUGAGGAGUACAUCGGGCUCUACUUUUUCGUGGGGGAUAACGUAGGGAAGCUUACGCUAAUAUCGCAUACGACCUACGGGUGAAAGCAGGGGAUCUUCGGACCUUGUGCGGUUGAAUGCGCCGAUGUUGGAUUAGCUAGUUGGCGGGGUGAAGGCCCACCAAGUCGACGAUCCGUAGCUGGUCUGAGAGGAUGGUCGGCCACACUGGAGCGUGGACACGGACCAGGCUCCUACGGGAGGCAGCAGUGUGGAAUAGUGGACAAUGGGCGCAAGCCUGAUCCAGCCAGACCGCGUGUGUGAAGAAGGCCUUCGGGUUGUAAAGCCCGUUUGUUGGGAAAGAAAAGCAGCAGGUUAAUACCCCGCUGUUCUGACGGUACCGAAAGAAUAAGCACCGGCUAACUUCGUG